AUUGAACGCUGGCGGCAGGCCUAACACAUGCAAGUCGGACGGUAGCACAGGGGAGCUUGCUCCUCGGGUGACGAGUGACGGACGGGUGAGUAAUGUCUGGGGAUCUGCCCGAUAGAGGGGGAUAACCACUGGAAACGGUGGCUAAUACCGCAUAAUGUCGCAAGACCAGAGAGGGGGACCUUCGGGCCUCUCACUAUCGGAUGAACCCAGAUGGGAUUAGCUAGUAGGCGGGGUAACGGCCCACCUAGGCGACGAUCCCUAGCUGGUCUGAGAGGAUGACCAGCCACACUGGAACUGAGACGCGGUCCAGACUCCUACGGGAGGCAGCAGUGGGGAAUAUUGCACAAUGGGCGCAAGCCUGAUGCAGCCAUGCCGCGUGUAUGAAGAAGGCCUUCGGGUUGUAAAGUACUUUCAGCGGGGAGGAAGGCGAUGUGGUUAAUAACCGCGUCGAUUGACGUUACCCGCAGAAGAAGCACCGGCUAACUCCGUGCCAGCAGCCGCAGUAA
rnacentral:rRNA from 1 species